UACGGAGGGUGCGAACGUUAAUCGGAAUUACUGGGCGUAAAGCGCGCGUAGGCGGUUCGACAAGUGGGGUGUGAAAGCCCAGGGCUCAACCCUGGAACUGCAUUCCAAACUGUCGGACUAGAGUAUGGUAGAGGGAGGUAGAAUUUCCUGUGUAGCGGUGAAAUGCGUAGAUAUAGGAAGGAAUACCGGUGGCGAAGGCGGCCUCCUGGACCAAUACUGACGCUGAGGUGCGAAAGCGUGGGGAGCAAACAGG
rnacentral:misc_RNA from 1 species